ACGGGUGAGUAACACGUGAGCAACCUGCCCCUGACUCUGGGAUAAGCGGUGGAAACGCCGUCUAAUACCGGAUACGACCCGCCACCUCAUGGUGGAGGGUGGAAAGUUUUUCGGUCAGGGAUGGGCUCGCGGCCUAUCAGCUUGUUGGUGGGGUAACGGCCUACCAAGGCGAUUACGGGUAGCCGGCCUGAGAGGGCGACCGGCCACACUGGGACUGAGACACGGCCCAGACUCCUGCGGGAGGCAGCAGUGGGGAAUAUUGCGCAAUGGGCGAAAGCCUGACGCAGCGACGCCGCGUGGGGGAUGACGGCCUUCGGGUUGUAAACCUCUUUUACCACCAACGCAGGCUCGAAGUUUUCUUCGGGUUGACGGUAGGUGGGGAAUAAGGACCGGCUAACUACGUGCCAGCAGCCGCGGUAAUACGUAGGGUCCGAGCGUUGUCCGGAAUUAUUGGGCGUAAAGAGCUCGUAGGCGGCGUGUCGCGUCUGCUGUGAAAGACCGGGGCUUAACUCCGGUUCUGCAGUGGAUACGGGCAUGCUAGAGGUAGGUAGGGGAGACUGGAAUUCCUGGUGUAGCGGUGAAAUGCGCAGAUAUCAGGAGGAACACCGGUGGCGAAGGCGGGUCUCUGGGCCUUACCUGACGCUGAGGAGCGAAAGCAUGGGGAGCGAACAGGAUUAGAUACCCUGGUAGUCCAUGCCGUAAA
rnacentral:rRNA from 1 species